AGAUGUGGAUGUGGCCAAUUGUGCAUUAUUUGAAACAGUAAUCAUAGCUGCUUAUUAAGGCAAAAGGUUUUGAUUCUUCUCCUCAAUGAACAAAAUGUCAACUGCGGAUAGAGUAAAUGCAAGAAAAUCCCAUUCUUAGAAUGAUUCUCUGUUUUGAACAUGUUCAUCUAUAAUCUGUCUCAAAAGAAAAUGACAAUGAAACUUUGGAGGCCAGUCUGGUGUCACCUGGAAAACUGCAUCUGAACUCUGGUAUGAACAAGGCUGAUUAGCACCUGCCUGCACACUUUUUCAGUUUAUGAUUCAGUCAAGGAACAUGCCUUUUGUCAGUCAAGAAACAUUUGGUUGGCAUGCCUUUUAGCUUCCAUAAUACUGAUAGUUCUGAAGACUACAGACCAUUUUCUUAUACAGUGUCCCACAGUCUCAUUUUGUUUGAUUGUAUUUCCUGUUAGAUUCAAGUUAAACAUCAUGGCAAGAAUGUUAUAUGGGUGAGAUUGUGUUCUCUCCAUUUCAUUAUACCAACAAGCCUCUCUGUCAUUUGUUCUGUUUUUGGUGAUACUGUAGGUUAAGGUGGUAUUGCCAGAUCUUUCCAUCUGUAGAUAACUUUCUCCUUUGUGAUUAAUAAAGAGCUACGGGAGGAUA